rnacentral:rRNA from 1 species
GAUGAACGCUGGCGGCGUGCCUAAUACAUGCAAGUCGAGCGAAUGGAUUAAGAGCUUGCUCUCAUGAAGUUAGCGGCGGACGGGUGAGUAACACGUGGGUAACCUGCCCAUAAGACUGGGAUAACUCCGGGAAACCGGGGCUAAUACCGGAUAACAUUUUGAACCGCAUGGUUCGAAAUUGAAAGGCGGCUUCGGCUGUCACUUAUGGAUGGACCCGCGUCGCAUUAGCUAGUUGGUGAGGUAACGGCUCACCAAGGCAACGAUGCGUAGCCGACCUGGGAGGGUGCUCGGACACACUGGGAAUGAGACACGGCCCAGACUCCUACGGGAGGCAGCAGUAGGGAAUCUUCCGCAAUGGACGAAAGUCUGACGGAGCAACGCCGCGUGAGUGAUGAAGGCUUUCGGGUCGUAAAACUCUGUUGUUAGGGAAGAACAAGUGCUAGUUGAAUAAGCUGGCACCUUGACGGUACCUAACCAGAAAGCCACGGCUAACUACGUGCCAGCCGCCGCCGUAA